rnacentral:rRNA from 1 species
GUGCCAGCAGCCGCGGUAAUACGUAGGGUGCGAGCGUUAUCCGGAAUUAUUGGGCGUAAAGAGCUCGUAGGCGGUUUGUCGCGUCUGCUGUGAAAGCCCAGGGCUUAACCCUGGGUUUGCAGUGGGUACGGGCAGGCUGGAGUGCAGUAGGGGAGACUGGAAUUCCUGGUGUAGCGGUGAAAUGCGCAGAUAUCAGGAGGAACACCGAUGGCGAAGGCAGGUCUCUGGGCUGUUACUGACGCUGAGGAGCGAAAGCAUGGGGAGCGAACAGGAUUAGAAACCCUUGUAGUCC